GUCAGGAUGGCCGAGCGGUCUAAGGCGCCAGACUCAAGGAUUACGCCUUCUCUUGGUUAAAGGAGGUUUCUGGUCUCCGAGUGGGCGCGUGGGUUCAAAUCCCACUCCUGACA
rnacentral:tRNA from 1 species